UCUCCGUAGGUGAACCUGCGGAGGGAUCAUUACCGAGUGAGGGCUCACGCCCGACCUCCAACCCUUGGUGAACCCAUCUUGUUGCUUCGGGGGCGACCCUGCCGGCACUCGGUCGCCGGUCGCCCCCGAAGGUCUCCAAACACUGCAUCUUUGCGUCGGAGUUUAAAACAAAUGAAACAAACCUUUCAACAACGGUUCUCUUGGUUCUGGCAUCGAUGAAGAACGCAGC
rnacentral:misc_RNA from 1 species